AUUGAACGCUGGCGGCAGGCCUAACACAUGCAAGUCGAACGAGUGGCGGACGGGUGAGUAAUGUCUGGGAAACUGCCCGGUGGAGGGGGAUAACUACUGGAAACGGUAGCUAAUACCGCAUACCAUCGGAUGUGCCCAGAUUGGAUUAGCUAGUUGGUGGGGUAAAGGCUCACCUAGGCAACGAUCCCUAGCUGGUCUGAGAGGAUGACCAGCCACACUGGAACUGGGACACGGCCCAGACUCCUACGGGAGGCAGCAGUGGGGAAUAUUGCACAAUGGGCGCAAGCCUGAUGCAGCCAUGCCGCGUGUAUGAAGAAGGCCUUCGGGUUGUAAAGUACUUUCGGCGAGGAGGCGUUACUCGCAGAAGAAGCACCGGCUAACUCCGUGCCAGCAGCCGCGGUAAUUC
rnacentral:rRNA from 1 species